UACAGAGGGUGCGAGCGUUAAUCGGAAUUACUGGGCGUAAAGCGUGCGUAAACGGUUAUUUAAGUCGGGUGUGAAAGCCCGGGCUCAACCUGGGAAUUGCAUUCGAGACUGAAUAGCUAGGGUACGGUAGAGGGAAGUGGAAUUUCCGGUGUAGCGGUGAAAUGCGUAGAUAUCGGAAGGAACAUCAGUGGCGAAAGCGACUUCCUGGACCAGUACCGACGUUCAGGCACGAAAGCGUGGGGAGCAAACAGG
rnacentral:rRNA from 1 species